UACGUAGGGCGCAAGCGUUGUCCGGAAUUAUUGGGCGUAAAGAGCUCGUAGGCGGCUUGUCACGUCGGGUGUGAAAGCCCUGGGCUUAACCUAGGAAUUGCGCUUGAGACUGGAUAGCUUGGAGUGCGGCAGAGGGAGGUGGAAUUCCGACGUGUAGCAGUGAAAUGCGUAGAGAUCCGGAGGAACACCAGAGGCGAAGGCGGCUUACUGGGCUGACCCUGACGCUGAGCCGCGGAAGCCAGGGGAGCGAACGGG
rnacentral:rRNA from 1 species